rnacentral:rRNA from 1 species
CUACGGGAGGCUCCAGUGGGGAAUAUUGCGCAAUGGAGGAAACUCUGAUGCAGCAACGCCGCGUGGAGGAUGACACUUUUCGGAGCGUAAACUCCUUUUAUAUAGGAAGAAGAUGACGGUACUAUAUGAAUAAGCGCCGGCUAACUCCGUGCCAGCAGCCGCGGUAAUACGGAGGGCGCAAGCGUUACUCGGAAUCACUGGGCGUAAAGAGCGUGUAGGCGGAUUGAAAAGUCAGAAGUGAAAUCCUAUAGCUUAACUAUAGAACUGCUUCUGAAACUCUUAAUCUAGAAUAUGGGAGAGGUAGAUGGAAUUUCUGGUGUAGGGGUAAAAUCCGUAGAGAUCAGAAGGAAUACCGAUUGCGAAGGCGAUCUACUAGAACAUUAUUGACGCUGAGACGCGAAAGCGUGGGGAGCAAACAGGAUUAGAUACCCGCGUAGUC